rnacentral:rRNA from 1 species
AUUGAACGCUGGCGGCAGGCUUCACACAUGCAAGUCGAGCGAGCGGCGGACGGGUGAGUAAUGUCUGGGAAAAUGCCUGAUGGAGGGGGAUAACUACUGGAAACGGUAGCUAAUACCGCAUACAAUCAGAUGUGCCCAGAUGGGAUUAGCUAGGAGGUGGGGUAAUGGAUCACCUAGGCGACGAUCCCUAGCUGGUAUGAGAGGAUGACCAGCCACACUGGAACACAGACACGGUCCAGACUCCUAAGGGAGGAAGCAGUGGAGAAUAUUGAACAAUGGGCGCAAGCCUGAUGCAGCCAUGCCGCGUGUGUGAAGAAGGCCUUCGGGUUGUAAAGCACUUGCAGCGAGGAGGCGUUACUCGCAGAAGUAGCACCGGCUAACUCCGUGCCAGCAGCCGCGGUAAUAC